CAGUAGCCGCGGUAAUACAGAGGGUGCGAGCGUUAAUCGGAUUUACUGGGCGUAAAGCGUGCGUAGGCGGCUUCUUAAGUCGGAUGUGAAAUCCCUGAGCUUAACUUAGGAAUUGCAUUCGAUACUGGGAAGCUAGAGUAUGGGAGAGGAUGGUAGAAUUCCAGGUGUAGCGGUGAAAUGCGUAGAGAUCUGGAGGAAUACCGAUGGCGAAGGCAGCCAUCUGGCCUAAUACUGACGCUGAGGUACGAAAGCAUGGGGAGCAAACAGGAUUAGAUACCCCAGUAGUCUCUGUCUCUUAUAC
rnacentral:rRNA from 1 species